AUUGAACGCUGGCGGCAUGCCUUACACAUGCAAGUCGAACGGUAACAGGUUAAGCUGACGAGUGGCGAACGGGUGAGUAAUGUAUCGGAACGUGCCCAGUCGUGGGGGAUAACUACUCGAAAGAGUGGCUAAUACCGCAUACGACCUGAGGGUGAAAGCGGGGGACCGUAAGGCCUCGCGCGAUUGGAGCGGCAGAUAUCAGAUUAGCUAGGUGGUGGGGUAAAAGCCCACCAAGGCGACGAUCGGUAGCUGGUCUGGGAGGACGACCAGCCACACUGGGACUGAGACACGGCCCAGGCUCCUACGGGAGGCAGCAGUGGGGAAUUUUGGACAAUGGACGCAAGUCUGAUCCAGCCAUGCCGCGUGCGGGAAGAAGGCCUUCGGGUUGUAAACCGCUUUUGUCAGGGAAGAAACGAGUUUCUCUAAUACAGAGACUUAAUGACGGUACCUGAAUAAUAAGCACCGGCUAACUACGUGCCAGCAGCCGCGGUAAAAC
rnacentral:rRNA from 1 species